rnacentral:lncRNA from 1 species
GGUAUUUAACUUGUUUAGAGUGCAGAUUCAAAGAUCAGAGUUUAUCUGGAGAUCAGAGUUUGACGACUGCCAGCUGGACCAGAGUUUAUAUGAAGGUCAGAGUUUGCAGGCGGCUGAUUUCUAGGAGAGGAUCUGGAUAAACAAGAAAGGAGAAUAUUAAGGAAGAUAUGCAAAUCAGAACAAGAAAAGGAUAGCUACUGAUUAGAUUAUUUUAGGAAGCAGAUAAUUGUAAAUCAAUCAGUAGAUAUCAUGAAACUGUGUAUAUAAUCACAGCUUAGGGUUUACUCUAGAUGAGUUAUGAAUUGAAUAUCAUUCGUGUAACCUAG